rnacentral:rRNA from 1 species
GAUGAACGCUGGCGGCGUGCCUAAUACAUGCAAGUCGAGCGAACGGACGAGAAGCUUGCUUUUCUGAUGUUAGCGGCGGACGGGUGAGUAACACGUGGAUAACCUACCUAUAAGACUGGGAUAACUUCGGGAAACCGGAGCUAAUACCGGAUAAUAUUUUGAACCGCAUGGUUCAAAAGUGAAAGACGGUCUUGCUGUCACUUAUAGAUGGAUCCGCGCUGCAUUAGCUAGUUGGUAAGGUAACGGCUUACCAAGGCAACGAUGCAUAGCCGACCUGAGAGAGUGAUCGGCCACACUUGAACUGAGACACGGUCCAGACUCCUACGGGAGGCAGCAGUAGGGAAUCUUCCGCAAUGGGCGAAAGCCUGACGGAGCAACGCCGCGUGAGUGAUGAAGGUCUUCGGAUCGUAAAACUCUGUUAUUAGGGAAGAACAUAUGUGUAAGUAACUGUGCACAUCUUGACGGUACCUAAUCAGAAAGCCACGGCUAACUACGUG